UUUUUUUUUUUUUUUUUUUUUUUUUGUCUUUUUGCUUUUUCUAGGGCGGCUCCUACUGCAUAUGGAGGUUCCCAGUUAAGAGAAACAAGAUGUAAAAGCACCUUAGAGGAAUAUUUAAGAAAAAUAAAAAUAUAAAAAUAAAAAAUGAGGCCCAGAAUUAGCCCAAUAGAUGACGUGGCCUUCUAUGGUCCCAAACACAAUAUCCAUUUAACUCUCCCCACUGGAAAUACUUUCUGAGAACUGGCAUUACUAACUAAACCAAACUAAACUGAAACCGAUUAAAGGGCAGAUUUACAAACUUAGACCAACAAAGUUUAGACACAGAAAAGAAAGUCUUUCUCCUUUCCCAUAAGAUACACCAUUAUCCCUGCUCUCCUUAUCCACACAAAAAUAACUGAACUUUUAAAAAUAAAGAACACAAACUGCCUAGACGUCUCAAGCUACAAAGAACCAUUUGGCACCGAUACAGGCUAAGGACUUUCAAUUUGCCUUCUAAUAGAAAUCUAUGCAAUAAAAGUCCAAACUCCACCUCAGAAGGAAAAAUCUGCUAACUAUACAAGCACUUCCAUUUGUCUUAAUUUUGUCAUUUAUUUUUCCAUUGUUUUUCAUGAUUCAUCCCUGGAAUAGAGCGAAUGCUACUUAGCAGCAGGCAGAACACAUCAUCCUGCAGCCCGUUGGCAAGAGCACGGGGAGUGGGGAGUGGGGAGCGGAGAGCUUCAGUUGAGGUGAGCAAAGAAGCCUGUGAUGCGCUAAAACCAAGGUCCUAGGGCAAACACGACCAGCUGGGACAGCCCCACUUUACCUGUUGUCCACAUCUUUCCUCCAGGCUGGGUCAGAGUAAUCCUUUCUCUACCACCAGUCAGGGCAGGACACACAUUUUUCAAAGACUCCAUAUACUGAGCUUUGAAAUGUCCUUGGUUUAAGUCAAAACCUAUUGUGCGUGAACACUCUGUAGGUGCCUCCCCCUUACUUCUUAUCAAGUCAGGCUAGUCCUGAAGCCAUUAGCAGGAGGGAGACAAGAAACAUCAAGGAAACCUAUUUGUUUUUAAUGGGCAUUAAAAAUACGUAGGCGAGAACGUGGCAGACGGCAAUCUGCUAUAUUUGAAGCAGGCACAGGCCGAAGCAGUCAAAAGCCCAAAGUGCUCAGCCAGGUAAAAUCACUGUUGUGAUGCCCUGUCGCACCUGAGCUAGAGAAGGAGUAAUGCUACCCAGCUCACUUCCUCCCGGUAAAUAUGCCAGGAGGACACACCCCCUGCCAACCUACAAGCCUUCAAGUGUGAUCUUCCCCAUGCUUCUGUGUCCCCCCUAAGCCAAGUCUCCAGGACCCCCCCCCCACCACUGCCUCGCCGCAACCCAUCUCCUUUCUCGUCCCCCUCAUGUGCCCCCCUCCCAUCCUCUCAAGGCGGUCACAGCCACUUCUCUGGCACCUCCAGCUCCUGAAUGACUGUCAUCAGAACCCUAGCCCUCAACGCCCUCUACCCUCUGCGACUCGCCUGCCCACAUCAGUGGGCCCCGGUCCCUCCUAGGACCUGCCGCGGUGGGCCUCCGCAACCUGGCACGGCUCCC
rnacentral:lncRNA from 1 species